rnacentral:tRNA from 1 species
UGGGGAAUCGUCUAGCGGUAGGACGGCUGACUCUGGAUCAGCAAGGCCAGGUUCGAAUCCUGGUUCCCCAGCCA